rnacentral:misc_RNA from 1 species
AAGGCGUAACAAGGUUUCCGUAGGUGAACCUGAGACCACGUUUACAUCGCAUGGUCCCCGCCUCUCGGCGUGCCAAACCAUUUCGCGAGGUUCUCCCUCCCUAAAUGAUCCUUCCGACUUCAACUUGUUUAGUACCUUUUGUCCUCUACCCGUACCGCUUGUCGCCACAAUUUGGAUCUUGAUGCACCCGUUUUCUUAUAACCACCGCUGGAAAACUAUGUCUUCCCGCAAAAGUACCCGCUCGGGGGACCUGAGAACCUUCCAGAGCUGGAAUACACAAUGGUAUCUC